AGGGGCAUAGCUCAAUGGUAGAGCACCGGUCUCCAAAACCGGGGGUUGAGGGUUCGAGUCCUUCUGCCCCUGCCA
rnacentral:tRNA from 1 species